AUGCAAUUUGGUGAGUUAUACGGAUGGAGGAGAAAGCCAGUCCUCCUGGCCACCAUGCAGAAGUUAUUAAGAGUGGAAUGCAUUGGUUCUAGCAACUUGCAAAGUAGAUCCUUAAAAGCUGCCCUUGUAUGCAACACUUACCACUGCUUGAUAAGUUUUUUUUUUUUUUUAACAGGUCCUUUAAAUGUACCACUGAGCCAGCAAGAAGGUGAAGGAAAAGCCAAAAUCAAAAAGCCAGGAAUUCCUGAAGGCUUGACCCUUCCCAGACCCUGCUCCUGUGACCCAGCCAAUUUUACAGAAUCAGCAUUGCCCAAGUUCAUCGAGCCUUGGCACAUCCAAGUGGUCUUUCAUGACUUCUUCAUUAUAGCACCUCAAAGUUGGUCACUCAUCACCAGGGAGAUGCAAAUGAAAACUACAAUGAGAUGUCACUCCACACCUGUCAGAAUGGCUGGAAUCAAAAACACAAGAAACAACAAUGUUGGUGAGGACGUGGAGGAAAAGGAACCUUCUUGUGCUAUUGUUGGGGGCACAGCCACAGUAGGACACAGUAUGGAGUUUCCCAAAAAAAUUAAAAAUAGAAUUACCCUACAACCAGUAAUCGCACUACUGGAUAUUUACCCCCCAAAACACAAAAACAACUAA
rnacentral:lncRNA from 1 species